AGCACGGCUUCGCAGUGCGCACACGGGGAGCUUGCUCCCAGAGAUGCUGUGAGGAAAGUCCCCGUGCCUGGGUGCAGACAGUGCGAGUGGGAGACCGCAGGGCUCGUGCCAAACCUCCAGUGGUGAUGCUUUUCGCUGAGCCUUGGUGGCUGGCUCGGGCCCUUCGCAGCAGCAACCUCCAGUGGUGAUGCUUCUCGCGGACAGACGCCUUCGUGGCGGGCUCGGGCCCUUCGCAGCAGCACAGACAUGCCGAACGGGGCUCACUCUCC
rnacentral:RNase_MRP_RNA from 1 species